UACGUAGGGGGCAAGCGUUGUCCGGAUUCAUUGGGCGUAAAGGGCGCGUAGGCGAUUUAACAAGUCUUGUGUGAAAGCCCCGGGCUUAACUCGGGAAGUGCACAAGAAACUGUUGAAUUUGAGUUCCGGAGAGGAAGGCAGAAUUCCAGGUGUAGCGGUGAAAUGCGUAGAUAUCUGGAGGAAUACCGGUGGCGAAGGCGGCAUCCUGGACCGGCAUUGACGCUGAGUGAGCGAAAGCCAGGGGAGCAAACGGG
rnacentral:rRNA from 1 species